GUGAAAAUAAACGAAUACGCUUUAUCACUCAAGAGUUUUUUCACGAAGUGACGGAAGGCAAAUUUUUACAGUUUGGAACAGCCGAAGACCAUGAAAUGAUGCAGUAUAUACAGUAAGCAAUGUUUCAGAGAACAAUGAGAGAAGUCCUGGAACCAAUACACUCGCUAUUUAACAAUAAAAUUCCAGGUUGUAUCCAGGAGCCAACAUGCUUGUCAGGUGGGUCAUUGAUAAUUCCCUGAGCACCGCAGAUGUGAUCUGAUUUGGUGACAUGACAGUUGAAUUGGUAGUGACUGGAUUUUAACAGUGUGCCCUGGUUUUGAAUUGUUGAAGUAACCAAACUAAAACAUCUUCUGAGAACUCUGACUGCGAUUCUGAUGAUGAAACUCUGUCUACACUUGUGAAAAGUAUGAAGGAAUUGGCUCUGCCUCAUGGCCUUUUAAGGCUCUCACUUAACUUUUUCUUUAGUUUCCAGCUGGGUAACUGAUGCCAGUUUUAACUUUCUUGUGACUUUGACUUCAACAUAAGUUUAGUUUUAAUUUUGAUAGGAUUUUCAAAUCUGGUUUAAUUUUUAGAGCAGUGUAUUACAUAAAGAAACCAUGUUGCUUGAACUAGUCUGUGCUCUUACAGUGAUAUAAUUAUGAACUCCUUCAAAUAUGUUUUAUAUAUACAGUCAAAUAUAAAGUUCAGAAUAGUCAUUUAUCUGCUAUCCUUACCACAUGCUUAAAUUGCUUAUAAAAUACACAUCGUCCGCAUAUGGAUGCAGAAGAAUUACCCUUCUUUAUUAAUUUUGUUUGGCAUGUUUUCAUUUUGCUUGGUGCCAUCUAAAAAAAAAAAUCCUGCAUAUAGAUAUCUACAUUUUUGUAAAACAGAAUGUUACUAGCUUUAUUGUGCUUAAAUGUAUUGUAUUAAUACUUCAUACUUUCUUAUAAAAACAUAACCAUACAAUUUAGACUGACAUGCAUUGUGAAACUCGAUUGUUACAGGAUAUAUUAUAAGUAAGGGUGGAAAUCAUAUUAAGUUUUUCAUGAAUUCAUUUCAAAAGCCAGAUGUGUUAAUACAGACCCCCCCCCUUCCAUGAGGUAAUUUUUUUGGGUCUAUCAGGGGUGUGAGAAUUCUUAAGCUGAUUUCUGCUAUUUUUGUUUUUUAUUUUCAGCUUGAUAUCCCUUUUUGUGUACAAUAGUUUGAGGGCUCAUUCAAUUUCAUCCCCUAAAACUCUUCAGCAUUUUCAGCUCUUUAUCUUUCAUUCACACCUGGUUUAUGCAGUUUUACAGUUGAUGUGUCAUCAUUUUAUUCUAGAAUUUUCUAAUGAAUGCUAUUCAGGAAAGAAAUAAUACAUGAUUAUUUUUAGCAGACAUUUUACAUUAGCUUGAGGUUAAAGAUACACUGCAGCACAUGUUUUUCUGUAUAUUUGUAGUAAGAAUUCAACUCAUUUGUACAUGAUCCCACUAAUUCAAAGAUGUUACUUGCUGACAAUUUAUUGUAAAGUUUUCAGAGUUGGAACUAAAGUGUAUUUUAAUGUAUCUUUCUGUUUUUGGACUCGGGCAAUAAUUUGCUAUUAAAAAAACAAGUGUUUGAUUGGAAAAUGUAUUGAUGAGUGUAUUUAGCCAAUAACUUGAGAAUGAUGGAAAAAAUACAAAUCUACUUAGUCAUUCGUAUUUUUAUUACUGCAUUUUUUUUGUUGCUUUUGACGCUGUCGUUCGGGAUUUCGAUUAUAAAUUUGUUAAUAAAUGAUCCUGUUUGAUAUGUAGUUAAAUAAUUGAUUUAAAAUUAUAUUUCCUUGUUUGAGUUUCAUUAGUUGAUACAUGUAAUUGUUUAUUCAAAGGUUUACAUGUUUCCUUUGGUAAAGAUUAUCUUUUAGCACUUUUUAGUACUUGACAGUGUGUAAAAAGAUGAAACAACUCUCAAGGCAACUGUGUCGACUGAUUUAAUUAUGACAUUCUUUUAAAAAAAGUGUAGUGAAUGUAAUAAGUAAUGGUGAAUAUGUUACUUCUAUUUUGAUGGAAAAGAAAUAUACCAUUUUACUUGAAUAUGUGUAUGUCAAUACAAAUAGACAUAGAGAAUACAACUUUCCUGCACCACUAGCAUUGAUUAUAUUCCAGUAUUCCUGUGAUGGAAAAUUUAUUCAUUUGACAUUGGAAUGUUUUGAAUGUAGAGUAACUUAUUGAAUUUGGUACUAGUUAGCAAUUCUGUAUUUCAAAAUGUGGCAUUCACAGACUAGGAUUGCUGAUUGUGUUAAGCAUAUAAAAUGACAAAAUUCUGUCAAUGUGUACCUGAUAAUUCACUUCGUAUACAUUUCACAGUGCAAUAUUAGAUCCAUUAUAAUAAUUAUGAAUGUCGUUGUGUUUGUCACUAGCGAUUAUGGUCUGAUAUAUUAUUGAAUUAAAAAUAUAUUUCCAUUGUUAACAUUGUAUGGAAUUGAUAUUUUAAUGAAUGUAUUAAGCAUAACCAUUAUCAUAAUGAUUGACAUGAAAAAAAGUUAUAUUUUACUUGUCUAUUUGUCACUUGCUGCUAUGGUUUCAUAUGUUAUAAAAUUAAAAGAGUUCUUCUAAAUC